rnacentral:lncRNA from 1 species
ACAGUGUGUUGUAAUCUAUAUCCUGGAAAAUCAGUAUAAUUUGAUGACACCAAGUUUUUCUCCUAGGUCAGGAUGUAGCCAGGUCCCUUUGGACCACCCGAGAAGUGGCCUCCUGAUAUCUGCACAGCCAGUCUGCAGAAGACACAUCCUGUUUUAGUGUUCUAUUGCUAUGAAGAGAUACCAUGAUCAAGACAGCUUGUGAAAGAGAACAUUUAAUUGGGAGAUUGCUUAUAGUUUCUGAAGGUUAGGCCAUGAUCAUCAUGGCAGGAAGCAUGAAGGCGGGCAGGCCGGCACGGCCCUGGAACAUUAGCUGAGAGCUCACAUCUGACCUUCAAGUCUCCUGAAGGGAAAGUAAGACUGGGUCUGUUGUGGCUUCUGAAACCUCAAAGCCCACUCCCAGUGACACACCUCCACCAAGGACACACCUCCUAAUCCUGUUGAAUCAGUCCACCAACUAGAAUCCAGAUAUUCAAACAUAUGAACCUAUGGUGCCAGUCUCAUCCAAACCACCACUCCCCAAGCCAUUGUUUUGGAGCGUUUCCCCAAGGUUUUUAAAAGAAAAUCUUUCAAGUGCUAACACAGACAUCCCCAAAAAAGGAAGCAGUGCUGUUCAAGCUCAUACAAACCACCACCACAUGGGCUGCCUAGAAAUACACACAUCAUUCUUGCUAAGACUCUACUCACAACCCAUUGGCCAAAGUUGAACAACUUGCUGAACUACCAGGAAGU